rnacentral:sRNA from 1 species
AACACAUGCAAGUCGAGCGAGAAAGCCCCCGCAAGGGGGUGAGUAAAGCGGCGAACGGGUGAGUAACACGUGGGCAACCUGCCCUUCAGUCAGGAAUAACCCCGCGAAAGCGGGGCUAAUACCAGAUGACGUCCUCUGGGGGCAUCCUCGGGGGACCAAAGGGGGCGAGCGCAAGCGGCUCCCGCUGAAGGAUGGGCCUGCGGCUGAUUAGCUAGUUGGUAGGGUAACGGCCUACCAAGGCGACGAUCAGUAGCCGACCUGAGAGGGUGACCGGCCACACUGGGACUGAGACACGGCCCAGACUCCUACGGGAGGCAGCAGUGGG